AUUCACCGCGGCAUUCUGAUYCGCGAUUACUAGCGAUUCCAGCUUCGUGCAGKCGRGUUGCAGACUGCAGUCCGAACUGGGACGGUMUUUUUGGGAUUCGCUCCCCCUCGCGGGUUCGCUUCCCUUUGUUUACGCCAUUGUAGCACGUGUGUAGCCCAAAUCAUAAGGGGCAUGAUGAUUUGACGUCAUCCCCACCUUCCUCCAGGUURUCCCUGGCAGUCUCCCUAGAGUGCCCAUC
rnacentral:rRNA from 1 species